rnacentral:rRNA from 1 species
AGUACGGCCGCAAGGCUAAAACUCAAAGAAAUUGACGGGGGCCCGCACAAGCGGCGGAGCAUGCGGAUUAAUUCGAUGCAACGCGAAGAACCUUACCUGGGCUUGACAUGUUCCCGACCGCUCCAGAGAUGGGGCUUCCCUUCGGGGCGGGUUCACAGGUGGUGCAUGGUCGUCGUCAGCUCGUGUCGUGAGAUGUUGGGUUAAGUCCCGCAACGAGCGCAACCCUUAUUGUUAGUUGCCACCAUUCAGUUGGGCACUCUAGCAAGACUGCCGGUGACAAACCGGAGGAAGGUGGGGAUGACGUCAAAUCAUCAUGCCCCUUAUGACCUGGGCUACACACGUGCUACAAUGGGAAGUACAACGAGUUGCGAAGUCGCGAGGCUAAGCUAAUCUCUUAAAGCUUCUCUCAGUUCGGAUUGUAGGCUGCAACUCGCCUACAUGAAGCCGGAAUCGCUAGUAAUCGCGGAUCAGCACGCCGCGGUGAAUACGUUCCCGGGCCUUGUACACACCGCCCGUCACACCACGAGAGUUUGUAACACCCGAAGUCGGUGAGGUAACCUUUUUGGAGCCAGCCGCCUAAGGUGGGAUAGAUGAUUGGGGUGAAGUCGUAACAAGGUAGCCGUAUCGGAAGGUGCGGCUG